AGGACGAACGCUUGCGGCGUGCCUAACACAUGCAAGUCGAACGAGAAAGUGGAGCAAUCCACCAGUAAAGUGGCGCACGGGUGAGUAACACGUGACUAACCUACCCUUGAGUGGGGGAUAACCUAGGGAAACCUGGGCUAAUACCGCAUAACACUUACGAGUCAAAGCAGCAAUGCGCUUGGAGAGGAGUUCGCGGCCGAUUAGUUAGUUGGCGGGGUAAUGGCCCACCAAGACGAUGAUCGGUAUCCGGCCUGAGACGGGGCGUCGACGGAACGGACCGACCUAGGUAACGUGAAACACGGUCCAGACUCCUACGGGAGGCAGCAGUGGGGAAUUUUGCGCAAUGGGGGAAACCCUGACGCAGCAACGCCGCGUGGAGGAUGAAGCCCCUUGGGGCGUAAACUCCUUUCGAUCGGGAAGAUAAUGACGGUACCGAUAUAAGAAGCCCCGGCUAACUUCGUGCCAGCAGCCGC
rnacentral:rRNA from 1 species